AGUGAACGCUGGCGGUAGGCCUAACACAUGCAAGUCGAACGGCAGCACAGUAAGAGCUUGCUCUUACGGGUGGCGAGUGGCGGACGGGUGAGGAAUACAUCGGAAUCUACUUUUUCGUGGGGGAUAACGUAGGGAAACUUACGCUAAUACCGCAUGCGACCUACGGGUGAAAGCAGGGGAUCUUCGGACCUUGCGCGAUUGAAUGGGCCGAUGUCGGAUUAGCUAGUUGGCGGGGUAAAGGCCCACCAAGGCGACGAUCCGUAGCUGGUCUGAGAGGAUGAUCAGCCACACUGGAACUGAGACACGGUCCAGACUCCUACGGGAGGCAGCAGUGGGGAAUAUUGGACAAUGGGCGCAAGCCUGAUCCAGCCAUACCGCGUGGGUGAAGAAGGCCUUCGGGUUGUAAAGCCCUUUUGUUGGGAAAGAAAAGCAGCAGGUUAAUACCCCGCUGUUCUGACGGUACCCAAAGAAUAAGCACCGGCUAACUUCGUG
rnacentral:rRNA from 1 species